CAGCAGCCGCGGGAAUACAGAGGGUGCGAGCGUUAAUCGGAUUUACUGGGCGUAAAGCGUGCGUAGGCGGCUUCUUAAGUCGGAUGUGAAAUCCCUGAGCUUAACUUAGGAAUUGCAUUCGAUACUGGGAAGCUAGAGUAUGGGAGAGGAUGGUAGAAUUCCAGGUGUAGCGGUGAAAUGCGUAGAGAUCUGGAGGAAUACCGAUGGCGAAGGCAGCCAUCUGGCCUAAUACUGACGCUGAGGUACGAAAGCAUGGGGAGCAAACAGGAUUAGAUACCCCCGUAGUCCCUGUCUCUUAACA
rnacentral:rRNA from 1 species